rnacentral:rRNA from 1 species
AGUCUACGGCGGCCGUAACUAUAACGGUCCUAAGGUAGCGAAAUUCCUUGUCGGUUAAAUACCGACCUGCAUGAAUGGCGUAACGAGAUGGGAGCUGUCUCAACCAGAGAUUCAGUGAAAUUGUAGUGGAGGUGAAAAUUCCUCCUACCCGCGGCAAGACGGAAAGACCCCGUGGACCUUUACUACAACUUAGCACUGCUAAUGGGAAUAUCAUGCGCAGGAUAGGUGGGAGGCUUUGAAGUAAGGGCUUUGGCUCUUA